rnacentral:rRNA from 1 species
AUAGGGGAGCCGGAGGGAAACCGAGUCUUAAUUGGGCGUUAAGUUGCAGGGUAUAGACCCGAAACCCGGUGAUCUAGCCAUGGGCAGGUUGAAGGUUGGGUAACACUAACUGGAGGACCGAACCGACUAAUGUUGAAAAAUUAGCGGAUGACCUGUGGCUGGGGGUGAAAGGCCAAUCAAACCGGGAGAUAGCUGGUUCUCCCCGAAAGCUAUUUAGGUAGCGCCUCGUGAAUUCAUCUCCGGGGGUAGAGCACUGUUUCGGCUAGGGGGCCAUCCCGGCUUACCAACCCGAUGCAAACUGCGAAUACCGGAGAAUGUUAUCACGGGAGACACACGGCGGGUGCUAACGUCCGUCGUGAAGAGGGAAACAACCCAGACCGCCAGCUAAGGUCCCAAAGUCAUGGUUAAGUGGGAAACGAUGUGGGAAGGCCCAGACAGCCAGGAUGUUGGCUUAGAAGCAGCCAUCAUUUAAAGAAAGCGUAAUAGCUCACUGGUCGAGUCGGCCUGCGCGGAAGAUGUAACGGGGCUAAACCAUGCACCGAAGCUGCGGCAGCGACACUCAGGUGUUGUUGGGUAGGGGAGCGUUCUGUAAGCCUGCGAAGGUGGCCUGUGAGGGUUGCUGGAGGUAUCAGAAGUGCGAAUGCUGACAUAAGUAACGAUAAAGCGGGUGAAAAGCCCGCUCGCCGGAAGACCAAGGGUUCCUGUCCAACGUUAAUCGGGGCAGGGUGAGUCGACCCCUAAGGCGAGGCCGAAAGGCGUAGUCGAUGGGAAACGGGUUAAUAUUCCCGUACUUGGUGUUACUGCGAAGGGGGGACGGAGAAGGCUAUGUUGGCCGGGCGACGGUUGUCCCGGUUUAAGCGUGUAGGUGUGUGUUCCAGGUAAAUCCGGUUCACUUUAACACUGAGGCGUGACGACGAGGCACUACGGUGCUGAAGCAACAAAUGCCCUGCUUCCAGGAAAAGCCUCUAAGCAUCAGGUAACAUCAAAUCGUACCCCAAACCGACACAGGUGGUCAGGUAGAGAAUACCAAGGCGCUUGAGAGAACUCGGGUGAAGGAACUAGGCAAAAUGGUGCCGUAACUUCGGGAGAAGGCACGCUGACACGUAGGUGAAGUGAUUUACUCAUGGAGCUGAAGUCAGUCGAAGAUACCAGCUGGCUGCAACUGUUUAUUAAAAACACAGCACUGUGCAAACACGAAAGUGGACGUAUACGGUGUGACGCCUGCCCGGUGCCGGAAGGUUAAUUGAUGGGGUCAGCGCAAGCGAAGCUCCUGAUCGAAGCCCCGGUAAACGGCGGCCGUAACUAUAACGGUCCUAAGGUAGCGAAAUUCCUUGUCGGGUAAGUUCCGACCUGCACGAAUGGCGUAAUGAUGGCCAGGCUGUCUCCACCCGAGACUCAGUGAAAUUGAACUCGCUGUGAAGAUGCAGUGUACCCGCGGCAAGACGGAAAGACCCCGUGAACCUUUACUAUAGCUUGACACUGAACAUUGAGCCUUGAUGUGUAGGAUAGGUGGGAGGCUUUGAAGUGUGGACGCCAGUCUGCAUGGAGCCGGCCUUGAAAUACCACCCUUUAAUGUUUGAUGUUCUAACGUGGACCCGUGAUCCGGGUUGCGGACAGUGUCUGGUGGGUAGUUUGACUGGGGCGGUCUCCUCCUAAAGAGUAACGGAGGAGCACGAAGGUUGGCUAAUCCUGGUCGGACAUCAGGAGGUUAGUGCAAUGGCAUAAGCCAGCUUGACUGCGAGCGUGACGGCGCGAGCAGGUGCGAAAGCAGGUCAUAGUGAUCCGGUGGUUCUGAAUGGAAGGGCCAUCGCUCAACGGAUAAAAGGUACUCCGGGGAUAACAGGCUGAUACCGCCCAAGAGUUCAUAUCGACGGCGGUGUUUGGCACCUCGAUGUCGGCUCAUCACAUCCUGGGGCUGAAGUAGGUCCCAAGGGUAUGGCUGUUCGCCAUUUAAAGUGGUACGCGAGCUGGGUUUAGAACGUCGUGAGACAGUUCGGUCCCUAUCUGCCGUGGGCGCUGGAGAACUGAGGGGGGCUGCUCCUAGUACGAGAGGACCGGAGUGGACGCAUCACUGGUGUUCGGGUUGUCAUGCCAAUGGCACUGCCCGGUAGCUAAAUGCGGAAGAGAUAAGUGCUGAAAGCAUCUAAGCACGAAACUUGCCCCGAGAUGAGUUCU